CCAGCAUUCAGGGAAAAGUCUUCAUCUCAGGCUCCAUUGAUGGCCAGCAGUUCACAUCUUCUGCCUUUGGUUUUGCCUAGUUGCUAGAAAAGGAAACUGAGGCUAAACAUAAAGUAAUUUGCUCCGGCCUGUCCAUUUGAGGCUCCAGAUUCUAGAGCUCUCAGUCCCAGUCCCCGCUGACUCCAGGUGUGAUGUUGCCAAGAAUGUCCUCUUCUCCCAACCUCUUGCACCGCCAUGCCUUUACUCCAUCAACCUUGUCCUGACAUUUAUUAAACUGGUACAAGCAUUAUCAUGGACCAAAACCCUUCUGUGAGCCUGAAUUAGACUCGGACCUGUCCCAAGGAGCGCACACUCUGGUCUAAGUUUCAUCAUCUGUAAAAUGGGUGCGGUACUAGUACCUACCUCGUGGGAUCAUUGUGGAGAAGUAUGGACCUGGACUGUGGACAUGAAGAACAAUAGCUGGCAUCGUAUUACAGGCUACAUUAAACAUGCUAUCUAAAAAUACAGUAACGGCAUGAGCGUGCCUAAUACUAUGCGUGGCACGUGUUGAUUGGAUCUUAAAACUGUGUGAUUUCAUUGCUAACUGAAACCUUAGCAGAU